CGCGUAGGCGGCAUUACAAGUCAGAUGUGAAAGCCCCGGGCUUAACUCGGGAAUUGCAUCUGAAACUGUUUUGCUUGAGUCCUGGAGGGGGUAGUGGAAUUCCCAGUGUAGCGGUGAAAUGCGUAGAUAUUGGGAGGAACACCUGCGGCGAAGGCGGCUACCUGGACAGUGACUGACGCUGAGGCGCGAAAGCUAGGGGAGCGAACG
rnacentral:rRNA from 1 species